rnacentral:tRNA from 1 species
AAUAGGAUGCCUGACCAAAAGGACUAUCUUGAUAGGAUAAAUCAUGUAAAAAAAUAUUACUCCUAUUA